ACCGUCACUGCUACCGCCGGCAACUCCACUGCCGGUAAGGGCUUAAGUUGGUCUUCGUUUCCUUUGCGUUUCCGGAAGCUUCAUUGUAGUUGUAUGUUAGUUUCAGUAUCGUCGCCAGAGAUCUGGUUGCCGCCGCCACUCGAGGUGGUUGCCGGGGCUGCCGCCAAUCCGGUUCAGGGAACGCUGCAGUUUCAUUUUCCUAGUUCGGUUAUUCUUUUUCAGGAUAUGGAAGACGAAGCUUCAGGAGAGUUAUGUUUAUUUUCUGUUUAUUCGGUCUUUUUGUAUUACCGUAGCUAUUAUUUUUCCCUCACCUUUAUCUUUAUGAAGCUUGUAAGAGGGAUAGGAAAUUAUGAUAUGUAUAAUUGUAAACUAGUGUUAUGUAUAUGUAUAUAUAUAUCUUAAGGUUA